UGCAAGUCGAACGGCAGCGCGGGGAGCUUGCUCCCUGGCGGCGAGUGGCGGACGGGUGAGUAACACGUAGGAAUCUACCUUAUAGUGGGGGAUAACCCGGGGAAACUCGGGCUAAUACCGCAUAAUCUCUUCGGAGCAAAGCGGGGGAUCUUCGGACCUCGUGCUAUGAGAUGAGCCUGCGUCGGAUUAGCUAGUUGGUAGGGUAAUGGCCUACCAAGGCGACGAUCCGUAGCUGGUCUGAGAGGACGAUCAGCCACACUGGGACUGAGACACGGCCCAGACUCCUACGGGAGGCAGCAGUGGGGAAUAUUGGACAAUGGGGGAAACCCUGA
rnacentral:rRNA from 1 species